rnacentral:rRNA from 1 species
AAUUAAUUUAUUAUUUUUUUAUAUGGGAUUUUCAUUUGUUAAAAAAAAAAAUUUAAUUUUUAUUAUUAUAAAGAAAAAAUAUAAAUUUAUUAUAGAUAAUAGUAUUGUAAAAGAAUUAUUUUUAAUUAAAAUAAAGAAAAAUUUAAGUUUUGUACCUUGUGUAUCAGGGUUAAUUAAUUAAGAGAUUUUUAAUAAUUUUUCUCGAAUUUAAAAGAGUUAAUUAUUUAUAUAUUUAAUUGUUAAAUAAAUUUUUAAAAUAAAUAGUUAGUAAUGAAACGUUAUUCGUUUUUAAAUAUAUCUAGUUUUAAAAGAAAAAAAUUAAAUUUUAUUAUUAAUAUAUUAAAAAUUUAAAUUUUAAAUUUUUUAUUAUUAAUAUUUUAUUUUAUUAGGGAUAAGCUUAAUGAAAUAUUUUUAUAAUUUAUUAUGAAUAUUUAAUAAUUUAUAAGAUUAAAAAUUUCUAAUUAUAAUAAUUUGUUAUAAUUAAUUAUUAAUUAAAUAAUAUUUAUAUUAAAUUUAAUUGAUUUAUUUUAAUGUAAUUUAAAAUUUUUUAAAAUUAGCAAUAAUGAUAAAAUUAGUAUAAAAAUUUUUAAAAUUAUUUUUUUAUAAAAGGUUAAUUUAAGGAAUUCGGCAAAUUAAUUUUUCACCUGUUUAUUAAAAACAUGUCUUUUUGAUAAUAAUUUAAAGUCUAAUCUGCCCACUGAGUUUUUAAAUGGCCGCGGUAUUUUGACCGUGCAAAGGUAGCAUAAUCAUUAGUUUUUUAAUUGAAAGCUGGUAUGAAUGAUUGGAUGAGAAAAUAACUGUCUCAAAUUAAUUUAUAUAGAAUUUUAUUUUUAAGUUAAAAAGCUUAAAUUUAAUUUAAAGACGAGAAGACCCUAUAGAGUUUAAUAAAUAAAUAUAUUUAAUUCUUUAGUUUUUAGUAUUUAAUUUUUAUUUAUUUAUUUUGUUGGGGUGAUAGAAAAAUUUAAUUAACUUUUUUUGUAUUUUUACAUUAAUAAAUGAUUUUAUGAUCCAUAAUUUAUGAUUAUAAGAUUAAAUUACCUUAGGGAUAACAGCGUAAUUUUUUUUAAGAGUUCAAAUCGAAAAAAGAGAUUGCGACCUCGAUGUUGGAUUAAAGUAAAUUUUCGGUGCAGUAGCUGAAAUAUUAGGUCUGUUCGACCUUUAAAUCUUUACAUGAUCUGAGUUUAAACCGGUGUGAGCCAGGUUGGUUUCUAUCUUUAAUAAAAUUAUAUAUUUUAGUACGAAAGGACCAAGUAUAUAUUAAAUUAAUUUAUUUUGAAUAAUAUU